ACUGCCAGUGAUGAAAUAGUAUAAUGAUGUAGAUGAUUAUAUAACAACAUGCACUACCACCUGAGGCAGU